rnacentral:miRNA from 1 species
GCAGACACAUUCCAGCCAAUCAGCAGCAGACCCUCCCUCCCAGACCCUCCCACCUCCUGGACAGCUCACUAAGAAUGCAGCUUCAAAAUGGAUGCUGUCCAGGAUGUGGGAGGGUCUGGGAGAGAGGGUCUGCUGCUGAUUGGCUGGAAUGUGUCUG